rnacentral:rRNA from 1 species
GAUGAACGCUGGCGGCGUGCCUAAUACAUGCAAGUCGAGCGAACAGACGAGGAGCUUGCUCCUCUGACGUUAGCGGCGGACGGGUGAGUAACACGUGGUUAACCUACCUAUAAGACUGGGAUAACAUCGGGAAACCGGAGCUAAGACCGGAUAAUAUAUUGAACCGCAUUGUUCAAUAGUGAAAGACGGUUGUGGUGUCACUUAUAGAUGGAUCCGCGCCGCAUUAGCUAGUUGGUAAGGUAACGGCUUACCAAGGCGACGAUGCGUAGCCGACCUCAGAGGGUGAUCGGACACACUGGAACUGAGACACGGCCCAGACUCCUACGGGAAGCAGCAGUCGGGAAUCUUCCGCAAUGGGCGAAAGCCUGACGGAGCAACGCCGCGUGAGUGAUGAAGGUCUUCGGAUCGUAAAGCUCUGUUAGUAGGGAAGAACAAAUGUGUAAGUACCUAUGCACGUCUUGACGGUACCUAAUCAGAAAGCCACGGCUAACUACGUG